rnacentral:rRNA from 1 species
GACGAACGCUGGCGGCGUGCUUAACACAUGCAAGUCGAACGGAAAGGCCCUGCUUUUGUGGGGUGCUCGAGUGGCGAAGGGGUGAGUAACACGUGUGUAACCUGCCCUUGACUUUGGGAUAACUUCAGGAAACUGGGGCUAUUACCGGAUAGAAGAUCCUGCUGCGUGUGGGGGGUUGGAGAGUUACGGCGGUUGGGGAUGGACUCGCGGCUUAUCAGCUUGUUGGUGUGGUAGUGGCUUACGAAGCCUUUGACGGGUAGCCCGCCUGAGAGGGUGAACGGGCACAAUGCGCCUGCGAUACGCCCCAGACGGCUAUGGGACGCAAUAGUGGGAAAUCUGGCACAAUGGGCGGAAGCCAGAUGCAGAAAUGCUCCGUGCGGGAUGCCGGCCUACGGGGUGUAAACCGCUUUCGACGUUGAUGAGGCGAGAGUGACGGUAAUGGGUAAAGAAGCACCGGCUAACUACGUG